GCGUAAUUUUGCAACCGUUGUUAUAUAGGUCUGAAACAGGUCAGACGUUUCUACCGGCUACCGAAAUAGCCGUCUAUGACAGCUAUUAUUAAUGUA
rnacentral:ncRNA from 2 species